rnacentral:rRNA from 1 species
GACGAACGCUGGCGGCGUGCUUAACACAUGCAAGUCGAACGGUAAGGCCCUAGCUUGCUGGGGUACACGAGUGGCGAACGGGUGAGUAACACGUGGGUGACCUGCCCCGCACUUCGGGAUAAGCCUGGGAAACUGGGUCUAAUACCGGAUAGGACCGCACCGUGAGGGUGUGGUGGAAGGUUUUUUGGGGUGGGAUGGGUCCGCGGCCUAUCAGCUUGUUGGUGGGGUAAUGGCCUACCAAGGCGGCGACGGGUAGCCGGCCUGAGAGGGUGGACGGCCACAUUGGGACUGAGACACGGCCCAGACUCCUACGGGAGGCAGCAGUGGGGAAUAUUGCACAAUGGGCGGAAGCCUGAUGCAGCGACGCCGCGUGGGGGAUGACGGCCUUCGGGUUGUAAACUCCUUUCGCCAUCGACGAAGCUUUUCUGACGGUAGAUGGAGAAGAAGCACCGGCUAACUACGUG